AGUCCCAACCCCAGCCAGGCCCAACCCAAACUGAACUCUUCUCCCCCCGACCCAAACCCCAGCCCCGCCGCCGGCCAACUCCAGUCCCUUCGCCGCCGCCGCCGCCGCCGCCGCGUAGACGCGAGGACGCACACGCAUCCGCUACCACCGCGGCCAUGGUCCUCUCCCACCGCCGCUUCCUCCUUCCACCCCGGCCUCUUUGCCAUCGGCGCCGUCGCACCACUGCCGGCCCCUGCUCGAGCUGGUCAGGCGGCGUGCAGAUCCGCCACUGCCACAGCGUCGUCGUCCUCCACAACCACGCAGCGGCUCCUCGCCCGCGACCCUCUUCUCCAGGUAUGAGUCCCUCCUCUUCUCCCCUAAUUCCUUGUGGUUCCCGUCCAUCUCCGCGUCUGACUCAUGCGUGCGUUCAGUUUGGGGGCAAGGAAGGAGAAGCCUUUCUCGCUCGAUCUGGCGAGGAUGGAUGCGCAGCAAGGUCAGGUCGCCACCAUCUCUCCCCCUCCUUUCGUUUUCUCGGUUUUGGUUUCGAUUUGCUUCUCUUCCCUUCCCUUCCCUGACGCGGUUCGUUUCCUCACUGCACAGGUGCACCACCGUGAUGAUGGGGAN
rnacentral:lncRNA from 1 species